UAACACGUGGAUAACGUACCCCGAUAACCGGGACAACCCGAGGAAACUCGAGCUAAUACCGGAUGUGCCCAUCACACACCAGUGUGAUGUGUAAAGGAAGCUUCGGCCUCCGUAUCGGGAGCGGUCCGCGGCCCAUUAGCUAGUUGGUGAGGUAACGGCUCACCAAGGCAACGAUGGGUAGCUGGUCUGAGAGGACGAUCAGCCACACUGGGACUGAGACACGGCCCAG
rnacentral:rRNA from 1 species